GGGAGGCUGGCACAGAGGUGAGGGCACCCCCAUUCUGCCUUUCCCAGAGGGGCCUGGCUGCAUCAUCUGGAGAGCUGGCUGAGUAGCCCCACCUGCCGUGUCUGGCUGGGUCAGGAGCCCACAGCUUCCUGCCUGCUUCUGUGCAGCUCCUGGCCACACUUUGCCCAGCCGAGGGUCCCUUGGCCCAGCCCUGUGGCAGUUCCUCUUCUUUCCUAGUCUGGAUGACAGAGCCCAGGAUGCAGUGGGGGAGGACAGACCUGCAGGCCCAAGCAGGCUUGACUCAAACCGCUGAAGUGCUCAGUAGGAACGCGUGCGUGGGGGAAGACAACAGAAGAAGAUGGAGAUAUCGCGUGUCUUCACCAUACAUUUAUCACCUCCGCUCUGCAGCUGUAGAAAAAAAUCCUCCCAGGGAUUCAGGAGUCCUGUGACCAGCCUGGCACAAAGAGCCAGAGAAGCAAUUGAAAUCCUGCCAUAUCUUAUUGC